rnacentral:rRNA from 1 species
CCCGGGCCUUGUACACACCGCCCGUCGCACCGCGAAAGUCGGUAACACCCGAAGCCAGUGGCCACCGCAAGGAGGGAGCUGUCGAAGGUGGGAUUGGUGAUUGGGGUG